AUGGCUCAGAACGAACGCUGGCGGCGCGUUUAAGCAUGCAAGUCGAGCGGCAAGGGCCUUCGGGCCCCUAGAGCGGCGGACGGGUGAGUAACACGUGGACAAUCUGCCCCCCGGCCCGGGAUAGCCCAGGGAAACCUGGAUUAAUACCGGAUGAGGCGGGAUCCGCGAUGGCGGGACCCGGGAAAGGCGCUGCGGCGCCGCCGGGGGAUGAGUCUGCGUCCCAUUAGCUAGACGGCGGGGUAACGGCCCACCGUGGCGACGAUGGGUAGCCGGCCUGAGAGGGUGGACGGCCACAUUGGAACUGAGACACGGUCCAGACUCCUACGGGAGGCAGCAGCUAAGAAUCUUCCGCAAUGGGCGAAAGCCUGACGGAGCGACGCCCGCGUGAACGAAGAAGGCCGUGAGGUUGUAAAGUUCUUUUCGGGAGGGGGAACAACCGUGGCAGGGAAUGGCCGCGGGAUGACGUGAAUCCCGGAAUAAGCCCCGGCUAACUACGUGCCAGCAGCCGC
rnacentral:rRNA from 1 species